GCUGGCGGCGUGCCUAAUACAUGCAAGUCGAGCGGACAGAUGGGAGCUUGCUCCCUGAUGUUAGCGGCGGACGGGUGAGUAACACGUGGGUAACCUGCCUGUAAGACUGGGAUAACUCCGGGAAACCGGGGCUAAUACCGGAUGGUUGUUUGAACCGCAUGGUUCAAACAUAAAAGGUGGCUUCGGCUACCACUUACAGAUGGACCCGCGGCGCAUUAGCUAGUUGGUGAGGUAACGGCUCACCAAGGCAACGAUGCGUAGCCGACCUGAGAGGGUGAUCGGCCACACUGGGACUGAGACACGGCCCAGACUCCUACGGGAGGCAGCAGUAGGGAAUCUUCCGCAAUGGACGAAAGUCUGACGGAGCAACGCCGCGUGAGUGAUGAAGGUUUUCGGAUCGUAAAGCUCUGUUGUUAGGGAAGAACAAGUACCGUUCGAAUAGGGCGGUACCUUGACGGUACCUAACCAGAAAGCCACGGCUAACUACGUGCCAGCAGCCGCGGUAAUACGUAGGUGGCAAGCGUUGUCCGGAAUUAUUGGGCGUAAAGGGCUCGCAGGCGGUUUCUUAAGUCUGAUGUGAAAGCCCCCGGCUCAACCGGGGAGGGUCAUUGGAAACUGGGGAACUUGAGUGCAGAAGAGGAGAGUGGAAUUCCACGUGUAGCGGUGAAAUGCGUAGAGAUGUGGAGGAACACCAGUGGCGAAGGCGACUCUCUGGUCUGUAACUGACGCUGAGGAGCGAAAGCGUGGGGAGCGAACAGGAUUAGAUACCCUGGUAGUCCACGCCGUAAACGAUGAGUGCUAAGUGUUAGGGGGUUUCCGCCCCUUAGUGCUGCAGCUAACGCAUUAAGCACUCCGCCUGGGGAGUACGG
rnacentral:rRNA from 1 species